rnacentral:misc_RNA from 1 species
AGCAAAUCUCAAAGUCAAUUCCUUUUAAUUUGGUUUUGCUUUGGACUUGGAGGUCUUGCAGAUUUCACAGUCUGCUCCUCUUAAAUGCAUUAGCUGGAUCUCAGUCUUAUGCUUGGUUCCACUCGGUGUGAUAAGUAUCACUCGCUGAGGACACUGUUAAAAAGGUGGCCAGGAAAAUACUGAUUGAACCGCUUCUAAUCGUCCCUUAA